CGGGAGAUGGCUGAGUGGUUGAAAGCGACGGUCUUGAAAACCGUUGAGGGUCAUACCUCCGGGGGUUCGAAUCCCUCUCUCCCGGCCA
rnacentral:tRNA from 3 species